AUCCUGGCUCAGGACGAACGCUGGCGGCGUGCCUAACACAUGCAAGUCGAACGGGGAUUUUGUUUCGGCAGAAUCCUAGUGGCGAACGGGUGAGUAACGCGUAGGCAACCUGCCCCCGGAUUGGGACAACACCCCGAAAGGGGUGCUAAUACCGGAUACGAAGAUAACACCGCAUGGUGAUAUUUUGAAAGAUGGCCUCUAUUUAUAAGCUAUCGCCGGGGGAUGGGCCUGCGUCCGAUUAGCUGGUUGGUGGGGUAACGGCCUACCAAGGCGACGAUCGGUAGCCGGUCUGAGAGGAUGAACGGCCACAUUGGGACUGAGACACGGCCCAGACUCCUACGGGAGGCAGCAGUGGGGAAUCUUCCGCAAUGGGCGAAAGCCUGACGGAGCAACGCCGCGUGGGUGAGGAAGUUCUUCGGAACGUAAAGCCCUGUUGUACAUGACGAACGUGCUUUCUAUCAACAACGGGAAGCAAUGACGGUAGUGUACGAGGAAGCCACGGCUAACUACGUGCCAGCAGCCGCGGUAAU
rnacentral:rRNA from 1 species